rnacentral:lncRNA from 1 species
GUUUUGAUGGGCCAACAACCCCGGUUUCAGAUACAAAAGUGGGAUCCUGUGCCACAUCCUAAACAUGCUGUUCAUGAGAAGCCCUAUCUCGCAAAAGUCCUCUCUCUUCAAAGUAGGUAGUCUGCAUCAUUUCUUUAUGAAUGAUGCAGAACCUACAUGGAUGGUUUGCUGCAAUGCUUUCUGUGAAGCAAAAGAGGCCGUGCAUCCCCAAAUUGUCGCCAGAAACUUGGCCCAAUGCUACUGCAUUGUGUAUAUUUGUAUUGUUUAUGAAUAUUUCCAUUCCUUCCUUGUGCAAAUGCUUCAGUUCAUCCACGAUAUUCUCUAGAAUUCUGGAGAAUCCAUACUUUUUCCUGUCUGCCGAAUAGUAUAUCUGCAGAAGGUGGCAAUUGACCAGCAAGGAGUUGUAUGCAGCAGGCAGCUCUUUCACAAUGUAGUAAAAGAAGCCAAGCUUGUGGACCCCUGUGUGAGUGCCGAGAGGAUUUGUUGUUUCCAGAUCAUCGUUGAACAGACCUAGUGAAAUGCAGUUAGGUUGAGACAGUAAAGCACUGCUUUUGUAGUACUGGCCAUCAUGGAAAUCUCUGAGUACACCAUCAUUCUUUGACUUUUCCUGUUGGAUAGCCCCCCAUACACCAGGCAGUUCCAAGAAGUUUUUCAAUACUGCCUGCAAAGGCACAUAUGACAUUGUGUUACACUUCACAACCUCAGUUGUAACUCCUGAGAUCCUAUGGUUCUGCUGCUCAAUUCUGUGACCGAGUACUAUUUCUUGUGGCAUUAUGAGAGACCCUUCUCUCACAAAGUAUUUGUUCUCCAUGUACUGAGAUGUAAGACCAUGGAAUGGUUGUUCAUGGAGCUCAAACUUGGACUUUACCUCAUCUAGAAUGUUGUUCAGGUCCUCUGGAUUCUCAGCAACACUUUUCAAUUUCAUUUGAGUGAAUUUGUGUAGAUGUUCCACAAUAUCUUUUACAAUACUGGAAGAGUUCUCUACAACCAUGUCUGCGUUAUGCAUAGUCAUCGACCCACUGGCUCGCAGUUUGGCUAUAAAUGCAGCUGCUGGUUUACAGACGCCGUGCUCAUCAUGUACUGACCACUCUGUUGCAUCAACCAUGGAGGAAUCAACACCGUCAUUUUGCUAAUCUGGGGUUUCAUUUCCAAUUUCAAUGUCUGACUCGUAUGCGUUAAUGCCAUCACCAUCAUUGUUAUCCUGCUCAAUAACAGCAUCUACACAUUCUGGGUGCAACUGGAGUAGGUGUUUGCGGUGUCAAGUUUAAAAGUAUUUGAAUUGAUAACAUUUUUUCAUAAGGUUAAUAAUGUGCAUUCUGGGCCACUGUGAAUAAUCAGAUUCAGAGUCAGCACUAUCGAAUUAGUAAAGUUGACUUAUUACAAGUUGCCACCUGAAAGUUUAGAUGAACCUAAACUUGUAGCCCUGAUAAAGGUUCUGUCGUAUGGCAUGUAGUCUGUUGUGAUGGUUUUGAAGUUUCAUGUAAUUCACUUUAGUCUGUUUAUUCGUUGUUCAACAACAGUCAUUCACUGUUCAUGGUUCCCUAUUUAAGUCAGUGAUUCACUCAUGUAAAAACCGCAAAAGAAAGAGUAAAAAUAAACCGAACAUAUAUAAAACCCAUGGGGGCUCAAACAUCUUCAUUUCAGAUGAUGUGACAAACUUUGUCAGAAUGGCGAUGGCCAGAAAGCAACUCUGGAAAAAGCUUCUGUUAGGCAUCCGACAAGAUGAGCGGGUCCUUUUUGCAUCCAUUCCCUGGACAGUCCCGGCUUCCAUCACCUACAAGCUUCACAGCAGCUCCUUCAAGUCAUUUCGCCUAGGGGAAGCGGAUCCAAACCGCUGAUCAACCACAGGCAGCACACAAAUUCCGCAGCUGAGUAUUUAUAAUUAAUUAUUGUAAAAUUUCCUCUAGAAACAAUUCUUAUGUAAACGUUGGCCUCGCAAAGCGUAAAUAAAUGCAAUUCAACAGUGUGUUUGACCAAAACAGUUCAGUAUCAUUUGUCACAGAAAUCUGAUCAUAGAUUUUACUAUUUUUUUCUUCAAAUGUCGGCUGAUGACUGAAAAUAGUGUCCGACUAAAUUAAGUGCAAAAUAUAUGGGAGCCCAGAGAGGCCACAUAAAGCUUAUACUCAAUCAUAACCCCAUCUAAAAAAACGUUAAAAAUUGGGCAACAACAGGAUUUCAGUCAUACCAGUGAGUUUGGGGGUUGAAAUACAUUGAAAAAAUUCUUUUUUUUAUUUUGCCGACGCGCAUGGCUACGGCGAUCACAACUAUUUCACGAAUCAUCCGCAAAACAAGUUACAUACCUUCAUUAAUUUCCAAUAUCACACUUGUUCUUUUUUUCUAGUCUGCCCCACAUGCACAGUCGACGACGACACAUCCCAAUCAUAACGCAUGCUUGUCCUGGCAUGGAUGAAGUUUGUACAGGGCGUCUUCAUGUCGGCGUGGCACAGAUUCAGAAGCGAGCUUCAGGUGGGGAUAGACGCGGUACAAAUGGCCCAGAUGUUGACUGCACAACGCAAGCAAAGGGGGUAUCCUGCCAUGAUGAGCUCAACCUUCAAGAACAUGCUCGAAUGAACUGAGGACGCCGAAAAUCAUGCAUUUUCCUUAAAAAAAAACAGUUGUGUGUACAUGUUGAGCUGAAAUGACAUAUUCAACCAUUUUUCUUUAUUUUUCUUACAGACCAGAAAUCCUUGCAAGGUCCUUCAUCCAACAGAAAGAGAUAGGAACGUGGCCCUACAUGACGCCUGUAAUUAUGACACAAAUGCGGGCCAACAAGUUCAUGCUGGUGGACGUAAACGUCAUCAGUAGGCGAAUCGUAUGGGCUGGGAUGCCUCACCUCAUGCCGCAUGACAAUAGUCGACAUUCCUACUAUCACCCACACCAAGGAAUCGCAUCAAACAUCAAGGGCUGUUUUAGAACUCACUGAUCAGAUCCACCACAGAUGUCGCCUACUCAGACGGGACCUCGACGUCCUGGACCUCCCGUGUCUGCUGGUUGUUAUGGAGCAACAACGACGACGCAAAACCGAUAAUUGACACCCAUGGAUGGACUGGAGAGAGUUCGAGUGCCGCCUGGGUGUCGAUUUACACAGACUAUGUACCAGGAUGGAAAUGGAACACCUGGUGGUCAACAGUACCUGAGACGAUCUCUACUACUCACUAUUCGGGAUGUGGAAAGUUCCAACUGACUACAUGGAGAGAGUGGCGGUAGCCACAUAGCCAGAACCAGCCCCAAGGAGGAGCAGCCAGAGAACAACCUGCCGGAGAACGUCGGCGAAUGGAACCUUGACGACGUACAAGAUGAUGUCCAGCCCCAGGUGCAUGCACCACAACCAAGGCGCACUUGCCGACGAGGCAUCACUCUCCUGAUUGUGGAAAACGAGCACCUGCCAGUGCCAAACCCUCGCACAAACAUGUUAUUUAAUUGAUUUCUUUCCUUGUAAUGACUGGAUAAAAAGUAUAUUCAUACAAAUUUGAAUAUUUUGCUAUUUAAUUUCUUUUCAAUUUAAUAAGCAUACACUUAUUCACCUGAUUUAAUUCAGCCUAGUGUCAUGACAGUUGCUGCUUCUGGAAGGGGAAGGUUCCCAGGACCAAAGCGCUCAACCCACUACCGCCCGUCCCAAGUCGGGGGCAGUUGCAACAGUCUGAAAGAUCUGACAACAGGAUGCAGAUAUAACCUGGGCUUGAUAAUUUUUUUCACAAAUUCAUGCUGUGCACGUCGAUAAAACGCCGACGCAGAUCAAGCCAGGUUGCGGCCAUAACCCGGCCAUGGUUUUCAAACCCAGUACAUAUUAAUAUGUUAGUUUAAUUUGUAAUUACAGGUUCCAGGUCUUGUACUCCUAUCAUUUAUGUCAUUCUUUAUAUAGAUUCUUUUGUGUUAUAUAAAAAAAGAAAACUAUAAACCAUAUUACCAUCAAUCAUAAACAUUCUUGGCUGGUGUCUCUUUCGAGAGCAAGUAUUGUGCUAUUGCAAAAAAAUGAAAUUCAUAAAAUUCCAAAAUUUGGAGCGCAAGUAUUUGAACAAGUAUGAGAUAAGAAAGACGAUGACUAUUGUGCAAGGUAAUCCGACAGAUUUGUUGAUUGAUAAAUGUAAAUGAAUAAGGUGAAAUAAAUUGAUUCGUUGAUAGUAU